rnacentral:rRNA from 1 species
GAUGAACGCUGGCGGCGUGCCUAAUACAUGCAAGUCGAGCGAACGGACGAGAAGCUUGCUUUUCUGAUGUUAGCGGCGGACGGGUGAGUAACACGUGGAUAACCUACCUAUAAGACUGGGAUAACUUCGGGAAACCGGAGCUAAUACCGGAUAAUAUUUUGAACCGCAUGGUUCAAAAGUGAAAGACGGUCUUGCUGUCACUUAUAGAUGGAUCCGCGCUGCAUUAGCUAGUUGGUAAGGUAACGGCUUACCAAGGCAACGAUGCAUAGCCGACCUGAGAGGGUAAUCUGCCACACUGGAACUGAGACACGGUCCAGACUCCUACGGGAGGCAGCAGUAGGGAAUCUUCCGCAAUGGGCGAAAGCCUGACGGAGCAACGCCGCGUGAGUGAUGAAGGUCUUCGGAUCGUAAAACUCUGUUAUUAGGGAAGAACAUAUGUGUAAGUAACUGUGCACAUCUUGACGGUACCUAAUCAGAAAGCCACGGCUAACUACGUG